rnacentral:rRNA from 1 species
CCCCGGUAGUCCUAGCUGUAAACGAUGGAUCGCUAGAGUACGGAGGUAUACGAUCCCUUAUGUACAGUAGCUUUACGCCGAUAAGCAUCCCGCAUGGGGACUACGACCGCAAGGCUUCACUUCAAGCGAAUUGACGGGGCCCCGCACAAGCAGCGGAGCGUGUGGUUUAAUUCAGAUGCUACAUCGAAGAACCUUACCUGGGUUUGACAUGUAGGUAGUAGUGAAGCGAAAGCGGAACGACCCUUCGGGGAGCCUACACAGGUGAUGCAUGGCUGUUGUCGGCUCGUGCCGUGAGGUGUCGGGUUAAGUCCCGUAACGAGCGCAACCCCUGUCAUGUAGUUACAAGUGUCUAAGGAGACUGCUCGGCGACAAGCCGGAGUGAAGGUGGGGAUGACGUCAAGUCUAGCAUGGCCGUUAUGUCCUACGGGCUACACACACGCUACAAUGGCCGGUACAAUGGCUUGCCAAGCAGUGAGGAGGAGCUAAUCACCGCAAGAGCCAGGUCUCAGUUCGGAUUGUGGGAUGCAACUAGUCCAACAUGAAGUUGGAGUUG